rnacentral:rRNA from 1 species
GAUAAACGCUGGCGGCGCACAUAAGACAUGCAAGUUGAACGGACUUAAUCGAAAUAUUUAUAUUUUGAAGCGGUUAGUGGCGGACUGGUGAGUAACGCGUAAGGAACCUGCCUAUUAGAGGGGAAUAACAGUGAGAAAUCAUUGCUAAUACCGCAUAUGCCAUAGAUAUCACAUGAUAACAGUGGGAAAGGAGCAAUCCGCUAAUAGAUGGCCUUGCGUCUGAUUAGAUAGUUGGUGGGGUAACGGCCUACCAAGUCGACGAUCAGUAGCCGGACUGAGAGGUUGAACGGCCACAUUGGGACUGAGAUACGGCCCAGACUCCUACGGGAGGCAGCAGUAGUGAAUAUUGCGCAAUGGAGGAAACUCUGACGCAGUGACGCCGCGUAUAGGAAGAAGGUUUUCGGAUUGUAAACUAUUGUCGUUAGGGAAGAGAAAGGACAGUACCUAAGGAGGAAGCUCCGGCUAACUACGUG